UGGGGAAUUUUGGACAAUGGGCGAAAGCCUGAUCCAGCAAUGCCGCGUGUGUGAAGAAGGCCUUCGGGUUGUAAAGCACUUUUGUCCGGAAAGAAAUCCUUGGCUCUAAUACAGUCGGGGGAUGACGGUACCGGAAGAAUAAGCACCGGCUAACUACGUGCCAGCAGCCGCGGUAAUACGUAGGGUGCAAGCGUUAAUCGGAAUUACUGGGCGUAAAGCGUGCGCAGGCGGUUUGCUAAGACCGAUGUGAAAUCCCCGGGCUCAACCUGGGAACUGCAUUGGUGACUGGCAGGCUAGAGUAUGGCAGAGGGGGGUAGAAUUCCACGUGUAGCAGUGAAAUGCGUAGAGAUGUGGAGGAAUACCGAUGGCGAAGGCAGCCCCCUGGGCCAAUACUGACGCUCAUGCACGAAAGCGUGGGGAGCAAACAGGAUUAGAUACCCCUGGUAGUCCACGCCCUAAACGAUGUCACUAGUUGUUGGGGAUUCAUUUCCUUAGUAACGUAGCUAACGCGUGAAGUUGACCGCCUGGGGAGUACGGUCGCAAGAUUAAAACUUAAAGGAAUUGACGGGGUCAUAGCUGUUUCCU
rnacentral:rRNA from 1 species